rnacentral:rRNA from 1 species
AUACGGAGGGGGGUUAGCGUUGUUCGGAAUUACUGGGCGUAAAGCGCACGUAGGCGGAUCAGAAAGUUGGGGGGUGAAAUCCCGGGGCUCAACCCCCGGAACUGCCUCAAAACUCCUGGUCUUGAGUUCGAGAGAGGUGAGUGGAAUUCCGAGUGUAGAGGUGAAAUUCGUAGAUAUUCGGAGGAACACCAGUGGCGAAGGCGGCUCACUGGCUCGAUACUGACGCUGAGGUGCGAAAGUGUGGGGAGCAAACAGGAUUAGAUACCCGUGUAC